rnacentral:lncRNA from 1 species
CCGCCAUUUGCAGAAACAUUUGCAAACACUUGUCCUGAUGAAGGCAUCGACUUACUGGAGGAUUUCCUAAGCCUUCUAGGAACAGAUGUCAUGCCCCUUUGUCACCAAGAACAGGGCAGUACCAGUCACAGGAGUCACUCACUGAAGGUGGACCAAAUGCACUGUGACCCCAGCAUGGAAGCCCUUCCAAAAGUUCCCAUUUUUUCUUACAAGACAAACUGACGCCUUCCUCAAGACCCUCUCCUCUCUGCCUCCUCAUCCACCUCUCCAGCGUGGUGCUCAAAACACACCCUUCUUGAGUUACCCUUCCUACAGGCCUGAGAUGUUCUGCGUGCUGCCUGGUUAAUGCCUCCCUGACACCCCUGUCUGGGUCAUCUUUCUUUCUAACACACUUUCAAGGACCACACUCCUUCAGAACUCUUGCCUGGUUUUUAAUUAUUCACUCAUUAGUAUCACAACUGGAUUAAUACUGCAUUCCCUCAAUAGACUACGCUCCAUGAGACCAGAGCCGUGUCUGCUGUGUUUCUGCAGGACGUACGGCCCUCCCAGCACGGUGCCCGCUUCCCUAACGCCAUUCCACAGUAUUUGUUGCAGAGAAGGAAGCAGCAUGCCAGGACAGAUGGAGACAGGACUAAUUUGGCUUGACAUCUGCCCCAGUGUCAGGCACAUUUUAAGUGCCCAACAAACAUCUGUGGAAUGAAUGAAUGAGUGCUGGCACCACCUAUAAGCACACAGUAAGGAUAACCAUGGAGAGAAUAUGCCGAGCCUUUCAAUCAGCCCAGAAGAGCGCCGUCUGUUAAGGCGAAAUGCCAGAAUCCCAAGGAACAGAUUCACCACCCAGGGGCGGGACUCAGGGACUGCUGAUACUGAGGCUGCCCUGUGGAUUUUCCUUCCAGAUCCCUUCUUGAUUUGC